UCCAAACAAGCCCUAAAUUAUUCCAAACAAUCUGUUACUUUUAGAUUUUGCUUGAGAUAUUCUUCCACUUGAAUAUUGAAAAAUUCACCGGCUUCCUUCCAGAAAAAUCCCACGCUUCCUCCCCCAAGCGCCGAUCUCUUCACCGUCCCAAACAUCAAAAUUCGCCGGCUUCCUUCCCCAUUGUCGGCGACGAUCUCAAGCGAAUCCAAUUCUUUAUUUUUCUCUGAUUUUCAUCCCCUGAUCUCCCCUGGUCCAUUUUUCUCGGACGUGCUGUCAACGACAAUCUCAAGCGAACCCAAUUCUCAAGCGAACUUCAGAAUCUUCAAAAUCAUAGGGAGUGCUGGAGAUGUUCUUGAAGAUGAUCCAGUUGGAAGGUUGAAAGUAAUCGUUUAUGAGCUGCCUAGCAAAUACAACAAGAAGAUUAUUUAGAAGGAUCAAAGAUGCCUCAACCAUAUGUUUGUUGCUGAGAUUUUCAUGCACUGUUUCUUAUUAUCGAGUCCUAUACAGACCCUCAACCAUGAAAAGGCUGAUUGGUUCUACACACCAGUCUACACUAGUUGUGACCUAACUCCAAAUGACUCCCUUUACCGUUUCUUGUUUUCUAUUUCUUUUUUAUGUUGGCUGAUUAAUGGAUAUAUUUUAGUCAAUUGUUGCUUUGGACGCUUAUGAAUAAACUUUCAAAUCAUAAUGUUGGGAUUCCCUUUCAUAA